rnacentral:rRNA from 1 species
UAGGGAAUCUUCCGCAAUGGGCGAAAGCCUGACGGAGCAACGCCGCGUGAGUGAUGAAGGUCUUCGGAUCGUAAAACUCUGUUGUUAGGGAAGAACAAAUUUGUUAGUAACUGAACAAGUCUUGACGGUACCUAACCAGAAAGCCACGGCUAACUACGUGCCAGCAGCCGCGGUAAUACGUAGGUGGCAAGCGUUAUCCGGAAUUAUUGGGCGUAAAGCGCGCGUAGGCGGUUUCUUAAGUCUGAUGUGAAAGCCCACGGCUCAACCGUGGAGGGUCAUUGGAAACUGGGAAACUUGAGUGCAGAAGAGGAGAGUGGAAUUCCAUGUGUAGCGGUGAAAUGCGCAGAGAUAUGGAGGAACACCAGUGGCGAAGGCGGCUCUCUGGUCUGUAACUGACGCU